GAGAGGCCAUUUUGUCACGGCGUCGUCAGUGUGCAAGCAUCGAUCAUCCGUCUUGCUGCGGACAGUCCAGGGAGGUGGGGAAAUACCUGUACUCUCAGGAAACCAAAUCAAGCCUUGGCACGAGGCCACCGUGGAAGGAUUAUAUCCGAUCACAUGGAAACCCAGCUAGUGUUCUCAGGACCAAGAGAUGCUAAACCAAUAAACAACGAUGGCAGAACACACUCCAAGCCACCUUUUGCUUCUAGAAGACAGAUGCAAACUACGCUUGUUGCAAGGCUACCAAGCGGGCCUGUGAUGAAUCCAGCAGCAGUGUCUUCAAUCACAGAAAGUGCUUUUAGAAAACAUUAUGGUAAUGCUUAGCGCUAAAUGCUGUUUGUCCCUGAAAAAAGGAAAAAUCACUGUGAAGAAAACAAGAAAGUAGCACAGAGACAAGAGUGUUCGCUGCAGGAAAAGCGCUUCUUCACUCCAUCUGCAAAUGUUUUUCCUACGCAAAAUCAAGAUGGCUUCAAGCAACAAAAUUCACAUGAUGAACAGUCCCCAGGCUUGA